CAGCUUGUGAAGAGAGUCUUUCUGACCAGCGAGCGUAAAAUUUCAAGAAAGUUUGUUGAGGGACUAUUAUCUCUGAUGGUAGAGAGGAGAAUAUCAAAAUGGAAAAUAUUGUAUUCAUACUUGAAAAAGAUGUACUGGGGGAAUGGAAUAUAUGGUAUUGAGUCAGCUUCUCAGUAUUACUUUGGAAAGAGGCCUUCUUCUCUGUCUGUUGGGGAAUCUGCAAUGCUCGCUGGAAUUCUGCCUGGCCCUGAAUUGCUAAAUCCACUGAAAUACCCCAAAAAAUCCAAGUCGUCCCAGGUCAAAGUAUUACGGAGGAUGGUUUCAGCUGGAUAUCUUGAGAUGGAUAAAGCCCUCCAGAUUGCAAGGGAACCUUUCUACUUGUGUUCUGAAAAUAAGAACCACAGCACUAAAUGCUAGGGAAAUAAGAUGAAAAACCAAGGGGAAAUGCUCCAAAAUGUACAAAAGAGUUGAUCAAGUUCUGAAUAUUUGCCAAGUCAUAUCCCUAGUUACGUCAUUUUUGUUCAAUCCUGAUAUUUAAUUCGUAAAUUUCAGGAGGCUGAAGGUGCACCAUCUGUGCCGGUGAUGAAGUCAAAACUUUUUGUGCACGCAACUAGUCGUCUAGAAUCUUUAUGAGCAAUAAAAGCGUUGAUUUUGGCAAUGUGCCCAAUCCCCCCCACAUCCAAUCAAAUUAGAUAACACUAAAAUAAUGAAGAAUAUUUGUGAGUCCGCCACCGCCAGUAUGGAAGGAAAUUUUAGAUACAUAGCACCUACUUGUUUUGCAUUUCUUAAUUUCUAUAUGUUUAGCACCCUAACUUAUAUAUGAAAAGGUGGGUCAUACUAUUUUCAGCCUUUCGUACAUAAGAAAAGAUGCGUGCCAUGUCAAAAAUCUAAUAAAUUUUUU